AGAGCACUUGAUGCAAGCGGGAAUCCAAUAAAUAACUUGAAUGUAAAUAAAAGUAAUUAGAGAACUCAGGAGUUAUGAGUUAAAGAACCUAGAGAACGAUGAAGAACGAACCAGAUGCUGCAAAAGUACAAUGUUGAGGAAGAUCCGACAGAUCCGGCUCCUCCUCCGCUCUCCUCUUCUCUCUCCCUAUUUUCUAGAUUACAACUAGAACUAACUAGAACUAGAACUAGAGGAACUAGAACUAGAACUAGAUGAACUAGAACUAUAUCUAGAUGAACUAGAGGUAGAACUAGA
rnacentral:lncRNA from 1 species